AUCGAGGUCCCGUAAUUGGAAUGAGUACACUUUAAAUCCUUUAACGAGGAUCAAUUGGAGGGCAAGUCUGGUGCCAGCAGCCGCGGUAAUUCCAGCUCCAAUAGCGUAUAUUAAAGUUGUUGCAGUUAAAAAGCUCGUAGUUGGAUCUCAGGAUUUGGAUGGAUGGUUCGCUUUCGGGCGCUACUAUCUGUCUGACCUACUCUAGUCGUGGAUGCCUUGGGUGCUCUUAAUUGAGUGCUUUUGGUGCCCGACGCAAUUACUUUGAAAAAAUUAGAGUGCUCAAAGCAGGCGUAUUGCCUGAAUAGUGUUGCAUGGAAUAAUGAAAUAGGAGUUUACCUCUAUUUUGUUGGUUUUCGGAGGUGAACUAAUGAUUAACAGGGACAGACGGGGGCAUUUGUAUGGAGGGGUUAGAGGUGAAAUUCUUGGAUCCUCUCCAGACAAACUACUGCGAAAGCAUUUGCCAGGAAUGUUUUCACUAAUCAAGAACGAAAGUCAGAGGUUCGAAGACGAUCAGAUACCGUCCUAGUUCUGACCAUAAAUGAUGCCAUCUAACAAUCCACGAAGUUUGCUUGUACGAACUCGUGGGCGGUCCCCGGGAAACCAAAGAUUUUGGGUUCCGGGGGAAGUAUGGUUGCAAAGCUGAAACUUAAAGGAAUUGACGGAAGGGCACCACCAGGAGUGGAGCCUGCGGCUUAAUUUGACCCAACACGGGAAACCUCACCCGGCCCGGACACUUUUAGGAUUGACAGAUUGAAGGCUCUUUCUUGAUCAAGUGGUUGGUGGUGCAUGGCCGUUCUUAGUUGGUGGAGCGAUUUGUCUGGUUAAUUCCGAUAACGAACGAGACUCUACUCUGCUAAAUAGAACGUUGAUAUAUAAAAGUCAGUGCUGACUUCUUAGAGAGACUAACGGCGUUUAGCCGUGUGAGAAAGAGCAAUAACAGGUCUGUGAUGCCCUUAGAUGUCCGGGGCCGCACGCGCGCUACACUGACUGCAGCAACUAGUAUGCUCCUGGUUUGAAAAAAACUGGGUAACCUGGUUGAAUUGCAGGCGUGACAGGGAUCAGAGUUUGCAAUUAUCCUCUGUGAACGAGGAAUUCCCAGUAAGCGCAAGUCAUUAGCUUGUGCUGAUUACGUCCCUGCCCUUUGUACACACCGCCCGUCGCUACUACCGAUUGAAUGGUUUAGUGAGGUCUUCGGAUUGGUGCUGAUGGAGUGGUUCUCUGCUCUGUUAGUGCCGAGAAGAUGAUCAAACUUGAUCAUUUAGAGGAAGUAAAAGUCGUAACAAGGU
rnacentral:rRNA from 1 species